rnacentral:rRNA from 1 species
AGAGGGGGGUAGAAUUUCAGGUGUAGCGGUGAAAUGCGUAGAGAUCUGAAGGAAUACCGGUGGCGAAGGCGGCCACCUGGACAAAGACUGACGCUCAGAUGCGAAAGCGUGGGGAGCAAACAGGAUUAGAUACCCUGGUAGUCCACGCCGUAAACAAUCUUUACUUGAAGGUGUGAUCUUUGCACCGUGGCUUUCGUAUCUACGCGAUUAAGUAGACCGCCUGGGGAGUACGGUCGCAAGACAAAAACUCAAAUGAAUUGACGG